CAUUCUCAUCGUGGCUAGAAUAUCCUGUUAGGCCACUGGGGGCAACACAGCUCGAUCACCACCAGCGGCAUGCCGGUAGUGGAGGGGACGAACCAAUCCAAACCACCAACAUCUCCUUACCACUAGUUAUUUCAACUGUACUGUGCAUGCUGACUAACGGCCACAAACACGAAUAUUCGUGAAAAUACUGUGCUCAGCGUAUGCUGACAUCCACACAAAAAAAAAAAAAAAUACUAGAAUUGAAAAGUCCCAAAGCAGGGAGGAAAGGGGCCUAUAUUGCCUUGUCAAAUUGUAAUGUGGAUCAUCACCCACCACUCACAUUUUCCAGUACAAAUUGCCUCAAGUUUGACACUCAUAUGCCAGCCAC
rnacentral:sRNA from 1 species